rnacentral:rRNA from 1 species
UACAGAGACUGCAAGCGUUAUUCGGAUUCACUGGGCGUAAAGGGUGCGCAGGCGGCCGUGUGUGUCAGGUGUGAAAGCCCGGAGCUUAACUCCGGAAUUGCGCCUGAAACUACAUGGCUAGAGCAUUGGAGAGGGUAGCGGAAUUCACGGUGUAGCAGUGAAAUGCGUAGAUAUCGUGAGGAACACCAGAGGCGAAGGCGGCUACCUGGACAAUUGCUGAUGCUCAGGCACGAAAGCGUGGGGAGCAAAAGGG